GAUGAACGCUGGCGGCGUGCCUAAUACAUGCAAGUCGAGCGAAUGGAUUAAGAGCUUGCUCUUAUGAAGUUAGCGGCGGACGGGUGAGUAACACGUGGGUAACCUGCCCAUAAGACUGGGAUAACUCCGGGAAACCGGGGCUAAUACCGGAUAACAUUUUGAACCGCAUGGUUCGAAAUUGAAAGGCGGCUUCGGCUGUCAUUUCUGGAUGGACCCGCGGCGCAUUAGCUAGUUGGUGAGGUAACGGCUCACCAAUGCAACGAUGCGUAGCCGACCUGAGAGGGUGAUCGGCCACACUGGGACUGAGACACGGCCCAGACUCCUACGGGAGGCAGCAGUAGGGAAUCUUCCGCAAUGGACGAAAGUCUGACGGAGCAACGCCGCGUGAGUGAUGAAGGCUUUCGUGUCGUAAAACUCUGUUGUUAGGGAAGAACAAGUGCUAGUUGAAUAAGCUGGCACCUUGACGGUACCUAACCAGAAAGCCACGGCUAACUACGUGCCAGCAGCCGCCGUAA
rnacentral:rRNA from 1 species